UACGAAGGGGGCUAGCGUUGCUCGGAAUUACUGGGCGUAAAGGGAGCGUAGGCGGAUCGUUAAGUUAGAGGUGAAAGCCCAGGGCUCAACCCUGGAAUUGCCUUUAAAACUGGCGGUCUUGAGUAUGGCAGAGGUGUGUGGAACUCCGAGUGUAGAGGUGAAAUUCAUAGAUAUUCGGAAGAACACCAGUGGCGAAGGCGACACACUGGGCCAUUACUGACGCUGAGGCUCGAAAGCGUGGGGAGCAAACAGG
rnacentral:rRNA from 1 species